rnacentral:rRNA from 1 species
UAAACUACGAUUAGAUACCCUAUUAUUUUAAAUGUUAAAUGUGAAUACUCGAGUAGUAGUAGUUAUGGUCUUGAAACUCAAAGAAUUUGGCGGUGUUUUAGUCCUUUCAGAGGAACCUGUCCCGUAAUCGAUAGUCCACGUUAUAUCUUACUUAAUUUUGUAUUCAGCUUGUAUACCUCCGUCCUCAGAAUAUCCUAUUAGGGUUGAUGAAUUUUCUAAAUUCUUUAUGAAGGAAUGAUGUCAGGUCAAGGUGCAGUUUAUGGUUAAGUGGUGAUGGGUUACAAUAAAUUUAUUUAUACGGAAAUUGACUUGAAACUUAGUUGAUUUAAGGUGGAUUUGAAGGUAAUUUUAUUUAUAAUAUUAAAUUGAUUUUGGCUCUAAAACAUGCACACAUCGCCCGUCGCUCUUA